CAGUCGCCACGGGAAUACGUAGGUGGCAAGCGUUGUCCGGAAUUAUUGGGCGUAAAGGGCUCGCAGGCGGUUUCUUAAGUCUGAUGUGAAAGCCCCCGGCUCAACCGGGGAUGGUCAUUGGAAACUGGGAAACUUGAGUGCAGAAGAGGAGAGUGGAAUUCCACGUGUAGCGGUGAAAUGCGUAGAGAUGUGGAGGAACACCAGUGGCGAAGGCGACUCUCUGGUCUGUAACUGACGCUGAGGAGCGAAAGCGUGGGGAGUGAACAGGAUUAGAUACCCCUGUAGUCCCUGUCUCUUAUAC
rnacentral:rRNA from 1 species